ACGGAGGGUGCAAACGUUGUUCGGAAUCACUGGGCGUAAAGCGCGUGUAGGCGGCUUGGAAAGUCAGAUGUGAAAUCCCACGGCUUAACCGUGGAAGUGCAUUUGAAACUUCCAGGAUAGAAUAUGGGAGAGGGUUGUAGAAUUCCUGGUGUAGAGGUGAAAUUCGUAGAUAUCAGGAGGAAUACCGGUGGCGAAGGCGGCAACCUGGACCAAUAUUGACGCUGAGACGCGAAAGCGUGGGGAGCAAACAG
rnacentral:rRNA from 1 species